GAACGGAUUCUGCUAAUGGAUAGAGAGUGAGUGAGAGAAAAUUCAUCGAAAAUAUUUUAACGUAAGGGAUUUUAAUUAAUACUAUUAUAAUGGCUAAUGAUCGAUGGUAAUUGAGGUGAGCAGGGAGCAUUGGAUAAUAUCUUAGUGGGCAUAUAAGUUGAAGACACUAGUUAUCCUCGCUCGGUGCUGUUUUAUAACGUAUUUUAAUUUGUUAUACCUAUAUCAUUUUCCUUUUCUAUUUGCCUCAUGGCGAAUAAUCAUGUCGAUGAAGAAUUAAUGAGAUAAUCAAUGCUGAAUGAUGUGCUUUUGGGCAUAAUGGCAGUUAGGUAUGUGUACGUCGUACGGGAUUCCAGAGAGUGGCAAAAUCGGAAACCUUUGCACCUUUUUUGCAAUAUGCUUAAUGAGAACCUGUGAAAUGAAGAAAAAUAAGUGUAGGGUCUACUCGAUUGCGCAGAUUUAUACGAGCGAAAGGAAUUUUAAUAUUUGAUAGCUGUCAUCAUUAUAACGUCGUUACGAUAAAUUCGUCGUUACAUUUGCGUGGAAAGCAACAACUAAUUGCACCGGCGUGAAUUUUUUGGCUGGUGAGCAUAGAAAAUAUUCUUUACCAAACUUCUUUAUUCUUAAACACGGCUAAACAUAAUUGAAUAAUAAACUAAUGCUUUCAAAAUACUGACGUGUGACCAGAGCUAAAAGUUCGCACGAAUUUUGCACGAUCCUUUCCAAAUGACUGUAUUUUACGAAAUUUGUUUCGUAUUUUUCGUAUUUCCGCCGACGUAAAAAUAAUUGUUUCUCUUGGCUCAUAAUUUGUACUCGUGUGACUCCUGUCGCUUACGAUCACGGCAGAGUAAAAAAAUCUUUAACAACUAAAAUGAGAUUGAAAAAAAGUGGCGCACUUAUUUGGGUACGUUAAGUUGUUACUCUAAUCCACCGUCCGUAAAAACAAAAUCUGCAAGAAAAAUAGGAGCUAACGUUGUGUUGUGACAAAUAUGUAUAAUCGACGACGGUUUGAAAAUCGUGGGAAAAUCGUUAAAUCACAGGAAGCGAAACGCGAGCGAGAAUUACCUAGUUAUUAAAAAUUUACCAGAGGCGCCUCCUGUAAUAUUAAGAAUUGCAUAAUGGAGUAGACUUAAGAUAACUGAAUUCACGGGCUGAAAGGUUUAUUUUCAUGUAAAACCUUUCUGUCAUUUAUUACUGAAAAAUUUACUUACGUGACAGCAACUGUAGUUACAUGGAAAUACAAAAUAUCGACCUAAAAUGAGGUGUCGAUAAAUUGUUAGAAAUUAAGAAAAUUAUUAAUCAUAAUUAAACGAGCUUUCACAAGGACCAUUGAUAUAUGAAAAUGGUAUGAAAUUAAAGAUAGCAGAGAUAAUAGCAAAUACUAUAAAAAUAACCCUUGUUUUUUUUCAGCGUUAAACACAGCCGUUAUAUAUAUAUAUAUAUACUUAUGAAACAUUCUACAUAUGCAGAACACAUGUUGGUACCUACUGCAGUAUAAGCAAUGAUAUAUACGUAUAUGCACCAUCUAGAAAAUUCACUAUGAGAGAAUUCAUAGCUAAUACGUUACCAUACACGUUACCACUCACAUAGUCUCUCUACUUGCACAUCUAGUUAUGUUAUAAUGCACACGUCAUCUUAUGUAACUAGGGAUUUACCUUAUUGUCGCGUUCUAAUGUAAGAAUAUGGUAUCUAUAGCUGUGGACAUUUUUUCCUGGAUCAUAAGAUACACGCAAAAAGAUGAAUGAUCACACAAUAAAAUGCUGAAUCAGAAGAUCAUUGAAUUUUUUUGUAAACAUAGUAAAAUUUGGAUAUCCUCACGUGUUACUUACAAUACGUACCUACCCCUGAGAACGUACAUUGUAUGCAUACAUUUUUUUGGUAUUUCCAAUAAAAUCCAACAUUACUGACCAUCGUUUUACCAAAGUCCAUUCUUUGAAAAUUCUAUGUCAAACGAAUAAAACAUCAGUGUACCAAAAUGCGAUACGCAAAUGAGGGAAGGAAAAAGACAUCAGACAGAAAAAAGUGUAAGAAUCAUAUUUUGCGCAAGAUUUCGAUUGACCUCUAAACGGUAAUUUUUGAAGAAUCCAAAAUUUUCAAUGAACGCCAUCAUAGAUUGUAAGUGCAACGUGCUGCUUAUUAAAUUGUAUUAAUCUUUAUUAUUAAUUCUGUUUUAAUAUUCGUCCACAAAUAAUUUGUUGAUUCAGAAUUCACCAAACGAUAAUUGGGUCCAGAUGCUCUUAAGAUAUUCUUCAAUUACACUUGAAACAUAUACCUACCUGGAUACUCGUGUCGGCGUAAACAAUUUAAUUGUAUAAUUACGUUUCGAAAGAAGUAUUAUUACCCGUCAUUAACUCUUUUGCCAAAGAGUCAACAAAUUUUCCUUAUAGCAAUGCACCUACCAAAUUAGUCCUGAAAUAAUCUCCGAUAAGUUGUAUACGAAUGUAUACACAGCUGCGUGAUGCAGGUGCCAACUAAAAGACAUGUUAAAAGUCAAGAUAAUACAUUUUCAAGAUUGGGUUACACAAAGAUUAUAGCAAGAGGAGGACUUAAGAAAAUUUUAUUGUUAGCAAGCACAAGGUAUCAGUCACAUAUUGAUUUAUUUAUCAUUGCCAGGUGAGAUAUUUAAUAGUUAUAAAAUCCCUAUACGUAAUCGUCACGUUUAAUCGUAACAACGUGAACUUUGUGUUUGCAGAAUUGUCAUGCAUGUAAAUGACGAGCAGUCGAAGGAGAAGUAGUCAGAACGACGAUUAUGAAUCUGGGCUAUGUCGUUCUCUCUCUUAUGCACGCAUAGGUCGAUAAGCCCGUCUCCGUCGCACUCAUCGGAAGGCAUAAGAAAUUCGGAAAAUCUAAAGGACGGACAUUCAAUCGCUUCUAAGGGUAUCAGCCGUACUUCUGUCUCUCAGGUAUCGUUGUCUCUGUCAGACACGUGUAAUCGCCGAUCGCACCGUCUCUCUCGCACUCACGUUGACUGUAUGAAAAUCGAACACUCAAAGCUUUCAGACGUUCUUUAUCGAGCCACGAUGUUUUUAUUCCCUCUAUCAUAUGGAUGAAUAAAAUGCAAAUUGAAAAAUGAUUACAGUGGGUCGAACGUACUCGGUGCCAACGUUACACAACGAAGACAGGCUGGUGCGAGCCGACGUGAAAAAAAAAAUAGCAGAAUAUAAUGUGAAAAAAUAAUAUGAAAAAAAGAAUGAGGUGCAAUAAAGAAAAGUAUCGUCGUCCUCGAGGCUCACAAGGCAUACGCAUACUAUGUUGUCAGCAAGAUUUUCGCAUCGCGACAUAAGAAUCGACCCACACGCGACCCAAAUCGACGUCCCCAGAAAACGACUAUCUGAUUGGGCAGAUUGAAAUUCAAGAGGAGUCCAAGGAACGAAUAAAGGGUUUCGAAAGAACAAUUAAGAGUAGCAAAGAAAAAAUACGUCAAGAUUAUUAUUGUCAGAUAUUUAUAUAUUUUUUAAAUAUAUCAUUUUUAUGUAUUUUUUAAAUAUAUGUAUACCCAUAUGGACGAUUGAUCAGACAAACUAUAUGCAGUCUGACUGAGACGAUAUUACACAUUGAUUUACAAGAAUUAACUAAUUUAAGUGCACGUGUACUCUCAUGUCGUGAACACGACGUAAAUAUGAAUACGUUGUCACAACGUAGAAGCAUUAAGCAAAGUAUAGCAUCAGAAAUGAAUACCUGUAACGCUGACAAUGAUAGGGAUGCUAAUAGCCGUUAUAGAGUCAUCGUGAAGGCGAGUCCACAGAGACAGAUAAAUCGCGGCCUAGAGGUAUGACGUAUAUGGAACUGCAGUAAUUUUGAUCCCUUUUCUUUUCCUUAUUAAUAAACACUGUGUCUCCCCCUAUACGUAGGACACACACAGACACUUGUAUGUAUACAUACUUGGCAAAUCGUUCACAUUUCCAGGACUUGGAAGCCAAGGUCCCUGUGCCUUAGGGCGCUUUGCAGCUGGUGACAGAAUGAAAUUGAAUAAUCGAGAAAAUUCUCGAAGCUUACGGAUGGAACGAAAUUGCUGUACAUAUAUAUUCAAAAAAUUCUUAAACAAUAUUCCUCGCUAUGUACAUACAUAUUUCUUCAAGUAUGUAUCGCAUGAAACGGAUAUACGUAUGAUCCCUCGAAAGGAAUUUCAAGUAAACGACACGCCAUUGGCUGUACCUGGCAAGUAUAAUUGUUGUAUUUUGUAGGAUAUGAGCGACGUAAACAAUUGUCACUGGACAGUAUCCUUUCCGUGCUUAGCAGAUACAUACAUGCACAUAUACAAUAAAUGUCAAUAACGUCGCGACAUGGAGACUAGAAGUCCUGCGACAUCGACCUUGCUUUCUAAAAAGUUUCCUGACAGAAUAAAGAUAGCUCUUCCUUAUACCGAGUUCGUUCCACCCUCCUUAAGGAAGAAAAAAGAAAAAAUGUUAGAUUUCUGAACCAGCCUGUACCAUUAUUCGCAACCGGGAGUAUGCUGAGAGAUGUGGAAUAAGGACCAAGGAAGGAUGAUUAUACAGGAUUUAAAAAAAUAUAUAAAGAAAGGGAAGCAACGAUCAAGGACAACUGUAGAUAGUCAUUGAAAUGUCACUCAGAGGAUGAUAUGGAAACGAGAUAACCAGGAUAUGAAUAGAUAAGUGAAUAUGGAUAUAUAAGUCUUUAAUAUAAUUCAUUUAACUAAUUUAACAUGUCAUUGUAUCUUUGUACCUGCAUCGACCCUAGAAAUUUACUAGGUUUGCCAUCUCGAUUGGUUCCUAUUCCAAGAAGAGAUCCAGAUCUUGGUCUAAUGAAAAGCCAUGUCGCGUCCAUUGCCAAAUUUGUAAUCGAGUUUCGUCGCUCUUACGACUACCUGGAUAAGAUACAAUGUUUUAUGACUUGAAUCCCUUUCUCCGUGACCUUGCCAUUGCUCUGGAUCUCAAGAAGUCGGUGUCUGGCGAAUGUCCCCGGAAGUGGUACCAAGGCCCUUUGCUGAGAAACUGAUUCGUUUCCUGCUAUGUUAAUAACGAGCUGCGGAACUUUCCGGCUCUUGUUGGACUUCAAGAUAGUCGGUGCUGCCAAGUGUAACUUGGGACUCCUAUUUUAAACGCAUUAAUUAGAACUUGUUCUCCUCGAGCUCAUUAGGCAUUAAGGAGAUUAGAGUUUUCGCUGAUUCUAAUAUCUUCAUUACAUUGCAAAAGAAAUCUAUGCGAAUAGAUGUUCUGACGCGACAAUGAUGUCAGACUUAUUGCGUCGCGCGAUAUAGCUGGAAAAGGGGGAUAGAAAAUAGAUGGAUGGGGAUAAGAAAUAUAAUAAGCGUAUACCAAUGAAAUUUUUAGAUGCGGAAAAGUGAUAAGAAUUAAUAUUUAGAUUUGAAAAACAUAGCACAGUUGUAAAGGGGAAAAAUAACAGGGGAGAAAAAAUUGUAGACAGACCAAUUAAUAUUGUAACGAACUACGCAAUCGCUUGAUUUACAUUAUUAGAUCGUUAUGAUAUUAUCCUGGGUGGUUAUUAGACUUACGUAGAUAAGGAUAAUAACGUAAUCUUACGAUAAAUGCUUUUCUCGAAGGAUCUGUGUUUUAUAAGACACCAAUUUUAAUUGGUUAAUAUAACGUUUCAUUGAGUACACAAUAAUUCUUGUUUAAGAAUUCUUAUACCCGAAUAACUCUUAGCACCUGUAAUAUAUUCAUUUAAAAUCAAUAACAAUUAUUGCAAAUUAUAACAGCUGCGAAUUCCAAUAGUAUAAUUUGUCAUUUUGAUAAGGUAAAUAUGGGUCACUAGGCUCGUGGGGCGAACCACUUGAUCAAGAAUCAGUGGUAGGAACGAAACAGGCGAACGUGGGUGGAUUUGAAGUCGAGCGUAGGGACGCGGAGCGUCGUUGAGUAUUAUGGGAAAUAUAAUGAACGCAUUUCAUGAAAGAAUUAAAAUAAUUAAUCACCUAGGGAUUCUUUCUAUCGCGAAAUAAGGAUAGUUGUAUCGGAUAUAAGAUAAGUAAUAAUGUGAGGUAAAUGAAGAAAAAGAAAAAAGUAGAGCAAGAAAAAGAUAGGGAACUGUGUGUAAUUUAUAUGGCAGAAGCAAAUCUGUGUCGACAAUGAGAGGCGAGAAAUUUUGUUUAAUGAUCAAUUCGAAUUCGGGUCAAGAACACGUGGUACAGUAUAGUAUCUAGAAGGUAUAACGUAAGAUGAAAGAGUGGUGAAUUUCAAAUUUUUACCAAGAAUUAGCGAAUCAGUCAAUCAGGAUAACCCACGAAAAUCCCACGAAAUGAUUGGCUGGGUCUUUCCAGUUGAAUUUAGGACAUCUUUCUCCUGUAUCAUUGAAAUCAUUCUGUACCUAUAAAAAUCAUAACGUAAGCAAUCAACGUAAAAUUUCUGGAAAUACAUACAAAUCAAAUAAUCAAACUGCGUGUGGUCGAAGCGUGUCGAAUCGAAAUGUAUAAUCUUAGCCGAUAGUUAAUAUACCCCGGCUCAGACGAAUCAUUGAAAGUAACAAUAAUUAUUCCGGAUAAAGACAUGAAUGCGUUACGUCACAAUGACUGGGUUAUUAAAAUCUAUUGGAUAAGCAGCGAAUGAAUUUCAAAAACUAUAUCACCCAAAGCUAAAAUUUACUUUUAUCAAGAGCUGAACAUACAGUAUUUACAAUGAGAUUUUUUUAUUAAAUUAAAAUCAAUCAAAAAUCAGUAAACCAUUGCGGCAUAUGCUUAAUUACAUUUCAAAAAAAAAAAAAAAAACGACAAAGCCAGAUUAUCUUCCUACAAAAAACAAGAGCGGAAAAAUAAGGAUCUUUCAAAUUAUCCCGUCAUUUCGCUGCUCAUUCAGUUAGCGACCGUUACAUAAUUUUGAAACACAAACGAUAUUCACGUAAUAGCGACUAAGUCGAUGCUAAUUAAUGAAUUUUUUAAGUGUCUUAAAUAUCUAUACGAAUAUAAAUAAUGGGCAAGUAUAAAUAUUAUUGAUAGUGAUCAAUGAUGGAAGAACCCAAAUACGAUUAACUCAUUAAUACAAAUUAUCUACAGAGCGUAAGCUGUCGAUAUAGAAGCAUUAAAAGUAGUAGGAAAAAAAAUAAAAAUCUCUAAUAUCUGUUGUUUCCAUCAUUUUCCCUGGAAAGAGAUGACGUAGGACUUAUCACAUAAGUACGUAGAUUGCAUAAUACGAAUUAAUGACAUAAUGCAGGUACAUGCACUGCCAGUAAUAAAUUCAAAUCGCGUCGCAUAACUGUAAUCGGACAAAUAAUUUUCAAUGGCGCGAACAGGAGGGCGUAGCGUCGUGCGUGACACACACGUGCGUUAACGAAUACUGAGCUUCGCUAUUUAGUUUUUAAUAAAUGAGGAAUGAUAACAUUUUUGCAAAUGCGAGCAGAUUAGACUACAGUUAACGUGUAAGCAAAAGUGACAGCUGCGACUGUGAAGAAAAAUGAAAAGGCGAUCGGGUCAGAUUGCACAAUAGAGCGUCCAGCUGACUUUCGCAGAAAACCAUUGAGCCAUUCAGUGAUAGCGUUAUAACUAUGGAGUAUAUUCUUUGGAGAAUUUUACAAGGCCUGGCGUAUUAUCUUACAAUUGGCGUAUUAUCUUGGCUGAUAGGUAUACAAAAGUUUCUCAGUGACAUUUGACAAGCCAUCUUACUUCUGUUUGCCUGACUUUUGAUAAUUCCCGAUACUUUGAGACCUGUCAAAAUAUUCAAUUUACUUCGACAUUAUUGUCAAUAUAUUUCUUUCUUCUCGCUCCUUCUAGUCAUCACGUCUUUAUGACAAUCGAUUUAUCCUCUACUUGUUUAUACGGCUGGACAUAAACCGCAGUGUUAUUAACGUGAAACGUCAUAUUCACGUUUCAUAGUUAAUUAACCUCCUCUUUUAAUUAGUCAAUGACCGACUGACAGUGUGCAAUUAAAUUGUAAAAGCAUUAGACCAUUUACCGGAUGCGAGGUCCAAGGAGAUUCUGCAAGUAGAUAUGGUGAAAAUGGUAAUAAUGAUUUUUUAAAUAAUAUAUUUCUCUAAAAUUAGAUCAAUUAAAGGUUUUAGGACAACGCGCAAAAUGUUAAAGGACAGAAGAGGUAAAGAUAAUACAUAUUAUAUGAAAAUUAUGUAUGUCGCCUUGUUUGUCUGUGAGACGUAGGACGAUAGCUUUGACGUGUUACGUAUUUCCACAGUCAACGAUUACUGUCUGUACAUAAGUAUAUAUAUAUCUUUGCAUCUGUAUACAGAUGAAUACGAAACAUUAUGCAAUGUCUCAUAGAACCUUGACAAUGACCAACGUACUGUAAUUCACCGCGACGUACUCGAGUGUCAUUAACUCAGGCAGAAGAGGAAGAACUCGAACAAAAAGUACGUGGGUUAUGGAAACAGCAUUAGUCUAUGCGCUUAGAGAUUCAUAAAUCUGACGAAUUGACAUAAAAUACAUUUGAGAGUCGGUUUAAAAAAGUCAGAAAGGCUUAUCGUUUUUAUUAUUGUUGAAAAAUCUACCAGUCGAGACGCGGAAUGUCAAUAUUUCUUAACAACGGAUAUGGGUGAGACGAAGUUUGUUGAAUAUUGUGGAAUGCAAAGUUUGACGAUACAUUAUAUAUAGCAGAUAUUUACGCAUGGUAAUUCUAGGAUAUCCUAGAUGCACGCUUUUGAAGAUAUAGAGGAUCUUACGAUAACAUGUCUUGUUCGUAACAUUUUAAAUAUUUGUUUGUAUAUUUCUAAAGAAAUCGAAAUAAUAAA